rnacentral:misc_RNA from 1 species
GUUUUCUUUUCUACAUCUGAAAUUCAAAGAUCUGAGAUGCGAACAUCUCCAUCAAACUUGUUUAUAUAUAAAUUUUAAUACACUUUAUUUACUAUAACAUUAUAUAGAUAGCCUCAUUGGAAGACGAUUUAACGCAUCACGAGACGUUGCUAUCGGCCAGCGAGGCGCAAGUGACGAUGUUGCACAACGAGAUUAACAAAAUGCAAGAACAACUUGAUCAGUCUCGCGAGGAACUGCGACUCGAGCGGGAAGCCCACGAGCAGUGCUCACACGAGCGCUCGGC